rnacentral:tRNA from 1 species
AAGAAAUUAGUUAAUUUAUAACAUUAAAAUGUCAAUUUAAAAUAAUCGUAUAGAUAUUUCUUG